AGCCCCAGCCCUCAUCCUUCUUUCUCCAAGGACCAGACAUCUCCGGAGUAGGCUGGUGUCUCCCUUGAUGGGGGCAUGGGCUAAUAGCCAGGGGCCUUGAGGUCAGAGGAAGUGGGACCCCACACAUGUGGAUCUGGGGAAAGUCGGUGUCGCAGAGUCCCUAUUGCCUCACCGUAAAGUGGGAUAAUAAUAACAGCUGUGGCAGCGCUACUGGUAAAGAACCUGCCUGCUAAUGCAGGAGAUGGAAGAGACGUGGGUUCAGUCCCUGGAUCAGGAAGAUCCCCUGGAGGAGGGCAUGGCUUCCCACUCCAGUAUUUUUGCCUGAAGAAUCCCAUGGACAAAGGAGCCUGGAGGGCUACAGUCCACAAGGUCACAAAAGUUGCACAUGGCUAAAGUGACUUAGCACGCACUCAUGCACAAAUAACACCUACCUCAUGAAGUUGUGUGACACACUGCUUGGCACCCAGUAGAUAAUUGAUAAAUGGUAGCCACUAAGGCAUUAAGAAAUCAAAUGUAACUUACUGAAAACUUCUCUGGCUCUGGAAACGCCAGUAGGUUUGGGAAGAAUGAAGGCUCCUGGCUGGGGAUGGGCAGCCAGAGGGGAGAGUCCCAGGAACUCAGCGGGAGGGGAGUUUGCAGGGCUGGGGGGAGAUCAGGCUCACAGGCUCAUCAGUUGCACAGGAGCUGCCUGGAGCAGAGUAACCUGAGACAGAAGCUCUCCCGUGGCAAGGUGACUCUCUCUCCAGAACACCUUGGGAUGCAGACCCAAACCUAGGAGCCAGUAUUGCCGGGGGCCAUCUUUGCCUUCCCCCAACCCUAAGCAAGGGGGUCUCAGACACCCCCUCUCCCCUGCCCAGGUCAGAGGAAAGGUAGGGGAUCUCUGAGGAUGCGGCUGUCAGCCAGACAUUCCAGCAUCCUCCUCCUAAGGAUUCUGCUCCCCCAGGCCAGUGUCCAGGAACAUGCUGUGUGCCCAAGCCCGGUGGAAAAUGCCCCAUGAACACGCUGAAUCUCACGAGGCCCCGACACUGGCGGGCCAGGCUGGUGGUGUCAGUGAGUCACAGGGCUCAGGACACAGUUGGGGAACUGCUGAAGGCUGGGCUGGGGGUGGGGAUGAGGUCCUGGGGAGCUGUCUCCCACUCAUGCUGUAGGGAAGGAGUUCAGAGAGGAUCAAAGGCCCCUGGUGCCCAGCAGGGUGUUGACCCCAAGCACUGGAGAUGGAGAUCGGUCGCUGUCUCAACUGUAGGAUUCCCACCAUAAGGCCUGCAGACAGCUCCAGAAACCCUGGCCCCCAACAGGCAGAGAAGAGAGGCCUCCAGCCAGAGCUGACUUCAGAUUUUUGAUUCCUAUUAUCUACCCCCCUCCCCAAGAAUCCUCAGGCCACAUCUCCCAACUGGCCACCCACCCUUCCCAUGACUGAAUUAACCCUUUGCCUGAUGCGGCCGGGUGGGCAAGGGGCAUUGCCCCUUUGGUUGGCCAGGGAGAAAAGAGCCCCCUCAACCCCCGCAUCCCCACACACCCCCUAGCGCUGGAAGCUGCAGGGCUUCACGUGUCCUGUCCUUCCACCUUCACCCUAGGGCCCUGGCCUCCCACCCGCGCCAGCCUGCCUCUCUGGAAAGUUCACCGGAGCCCCGAAAGCCCUUCAAGGCGGGGUCUGGUCCCACACUGGCGGGUUCUCCCAUUACCGGAGGCUCCUGACCCUUGCCCUUCGCAAGAGGAAGGGAGCAGAGAACGCGCCCGAUUCCCGACCGGGUGAAAAACUUUGCUUCCUAGGAGCUCGGGGGAGGCCAAAGUGAGUCCCGCUG
rnacentral:lncRNA from 1 species